GAUGAAGAACGUAUCGAAAUGCGAUAAGUAAUGUGAAUUGCAGAAUUCAGUGAAUCAUCGAAUCUUUGAACGCACAUUGCGCCCGCCAGUAUUCUGGCGGGCAUGCCUGUUCGAGCGUCAUUUUCACCAUCAAGCUCUGCUUGUGUUGGGGUCCUGCGGCUGCCCGCAGGCCCUGAAACCCAGUGGCGGGCUCGCUAGUCACACCGAGCGCAGUAGCACAUCUCGCUCAGGGCGUGCGGNNNGUUCUUGCCGUAAAACAACCCCCCCUUUUCACCAAGGUUGACCUCGGAUCAGGUAGGAAUACCCGCUGAUCUUAAGCAUAUCAAUAAGCGGAGGA
rnacentral:misc_RNA from 1 species